rnacentral:rRNA from 1 species
UACGAAGGGUGCAAGCGUUAAUCGGAAUUACUGGGCGUAAAGCGUGCGCAGGCGGUUUCGUAAGUCUGUCGUGAAAGCCCCGGGCUCAACCUGGGAAUGGCGAUGAAGACUGCAAGGCUUGAAUCUGGCAGAGGGGGGUAGAAUUCCACGUGUAGCAGUGAAAUGCGUAGAGAUGUGGAGGAACACCGAUGGCGAAGGCAGCCCCCUGGGUCAAGAUUGACGCUCAUGCACGAAAGCGUGGGGAGCAAACAGG